rnacentral:rRNA from 1 species
AACGCUGGCGGCGUGCUUAACACAUGCAAGUCGAACGAAACACCUUAUUUGAUUUUCUUCGGAACUGAAGAUUUGGUGAUUGAGUGGCGGACGGGUGAGUAACGCGUGGGUAACCUGCCCUGUACAGGGGGAUAACAGUCAGAAAUGACUGCUAAUACCGCAUAAGACCACAGCACCGCAUGGUGCAGGGGUAAAAACUCUGGUGGUACAGGAUGGACCCGCGUCUGAUUAGCUGGUUGGUGAGGUAACGGCUCACCAAGGCGACGAUCAGUAGCCGGCUUGAGAGAGUGAACGGCCACAUUGGGACUGAGACACGGCCCAAACUCCUACGGGAGGCGGCAGUGGGGAAUAUUGCACAAUGGGGGAAACCCUGAUGCAGCGACGCCGCGUGAGUGAAGAAGUAUCUCGGUAUGUAAAGCUCUAUCAGCAGGGAAGAAAAUGACGGUACCUGACUAAGAAGCCCCGGCUAACUACGUGCCAGCAGCCGCGGUAAUACGUAGGGGGCAAGCGUUAUCCGGAAUUACUGGGUGUAAAGGGUGCGUAGGUGGUAUGGCAAGUCAGAAGUGAAAACCCAGGGCUUAACUCUGGGACUGCUUUUGAAACUGUCAGACUAGAGUGCAGGAGAGGUAAGCGGAAUUCCUAGUGUAGCGGUGAAAUGCGUAGAUAUUAGGAGGAACAUCAGUGGCGA